rnacentral:snRNA from 1 species
GUGCUCACUUCAAAAACACAUAUAUUAAAAUUGGAAUGAAACAGAGAAGAUUAACAUGGCCCCUGAGCAAAGAAUUCAUGCGAAUUUGUGAAACAUUCCAUAUUUAA